rnacentral:tRNA from 1 species
GAUGAUAUAACUCAGUGGUAGAGUACUUGCCUGCUAUGUGUGAAACCUUGGGUUCAAUUCCCAACAUUGUAA